CCUAAGACCUUCGCUGCUUCUUCCUCCUCCCCUGCACUUGUCUGCCUCUCUCUUCAUCAAAAAACCCUAAAAAGGAAGACGAUGCCUUUUCCGUUUCAGAAUUUUCUCCAAGUUGUGCCAUGUGGAUUUCGUCGUCACCGUUGCUAUCAACUUGGACGAGCAGCUGAUGGGUUCGUCAACACCAUGGGUUACUGAACCAAGGAGGUCAUUGGUCGCAAUUGAUUCUCCUCACAGUGGGUUGUGUUUCCACAAUGAAAGUGAGUUCAAUCUCCUCUAUCUUGAGCCAAAAUCCAACAAUGUGAUCAACUAUUGAAUUGACGGGAAGCCAUAUCAUCUUCUAUGCAUAGCCUUUUUCUUUACAUUGGAAGUUAGUAUGUAAAAUACUUUUGUAUACCUGAUUUUUGUGAGGAUUAGGGAGAAUGAUUCUGAUAUCACUCCUUCAAAUGCCAAUUCA